UCGGCUGCAUCUGAAAUGGCGGCAUCGCUGGCACUGAAGAAGUAUUUGCCGGUCCUGGGGGCAAAGCGUGUUGAAACCAUUGCUGCGACUGCCUACGCUGCUCAUCCACUCACGGUGCUUUUUGCGAAAAUGGAGUCGAUCCUAAGCAAACGGUAUAAAUGUUUGAGCAUCACCAAAACGCGCUCCGAGGAUCUUUUGUCAUUCACCGACCUAGUAUGUGAUCGUGAUAUUCGUGUCAGGCUGCUUGCUAGCAUGGAAGAACGCACAGAUGCAACACUAGCGCAGCUAGCAGAAGAUUGCCACCGGCUAGCACGAGUUAAAGCGGAUAGUGCUAUGAUCGCGACCGAUACGAGCGAACGUGUGCACGCGGUCCAUGCGGGUGGAGAUAAGCAGCGGUACCAGAGGAACGACGAGCGAAACUCCAAACUGUUUGACAGAAGCACUGGUUCCAAACCCCGUAAUCCGUGUUGGCUUUGUGAUGCAUUGCAUUGGUCCAGGGAAUGCACGUACAAGGCGCACGAGUGUCGUGAUUGCGGUCGCAUUGGUCAUCGAGAGGGACAUUGCGCUUCCUCACACCGCCGCACGAGGCAUAAGAAAUUUCACCAGCGACCAUCCGUAGCAGCCAGAGUGGUACGAAUCAACGUCUCCAGUGUCCCACAGAACAGAAAAUUUGAGACCAUCUAGACCGAAAAAAAAAUCAGCAAGGUUAAAAUUGGAUACCGGUUCGGAUAUCUCGGUUAUCAGUAAGCGCAUGUGGAAGCAGUUGGGUUAACCACAUCUGACAACAGUAACGGUAUGAGCCAAAGCAGCGUCCGGUGACGUCCUCAGACUAAAGGGGAGUUCAUAGCGAACGUGUUCAUUUGCAAACCGUGCAAAGCGAGCUACCAUAAGUGUUAGAAAACGAAGUGGAAAAUAAUUUAGUGCCGAACUCGUUAAAGGUUUUUGUGAUACUUUUGCUGUUGCCAAAAAAUAUGUCUUUUUAUUCCGCCAGUUCGUUUGUAAAUAUCGCUCUGGCUAAUCUUGCGAGUCUUUUUAUCCUAUUUCCUUACAAUUAUUCUCUCUUUUUCCCAUCUCUUUUCCUCUCUCACCAAUUCCUAACGCAUGUGUCGACAGGUCGUUGGAACCAUCUUAUUUUACUGUUGUAAGGUUCCAACAAUAAGAGUGUCCAAAAUGAAGGUUGCGUUGUUGGGAGCGGACAUGGUUAAUCUUUUCGUCCUAGGAACGAUCCCGAUGGAUAAUUUCUGCAACAACAUAAAAAAAGCAGAUCCACGGUCCUGGGAGGACAAAUUUCCGUCUGUAUUCCAUUGCAGUAUUCCAUAGAAAGGGCAUUUAGCUAAAGUUUUCAUGAAAAAGCAAAGCCAAAACAAAGUGUGCACGGUAAUUUCGUUAAACAAUAUCGUUCCGAAAUGGUGGAUAGAUCUUACCGUAGAUAACAUUACAAUGCGUUUCGAAGUGGAUACGGGAUCACCGCUAACCAUUAUUGGAAAACAAUGCGACGAGAAAUAUUUCAAACAUAAACCUCUUCAAAAAUGCAAUGUCGAACUCGUGACUCUUAAUAUUCAUCGAGGACUGUUUCGCCCAAAGCGUUUGAUGUAUGGUAUUGCAUCAGCCCCGGCGAUUUGGCAACGGCAGAUGGAAAAUGUUAUGGGCCAAUCUGAUGGUCCCGUAGAUCACCACGGAGGACACUCAUCGGACGUAGAUCAAAGUGUGUGUGCGAUCUAUCGGGAGGUCAGCGAACGCGCGCUCGGCACGAUGCGUGAGAACCGAUCGGGAGAGUAAAAAUAUAUGGCGCGCGCUUGAGCAAGGUCGUGGAGCAAAGUGUUUACAAAUCGUUUACAAGUAAAUUAUAAUAAACUAGGACAUUCCGAUUACCUCGUUUUAAAGUAACGCGUUAACGUUUCUUUAGCGUUCUUCGAAAGAAAACGAAAAUAUAACAGUGCACAGUGGGCAACGGCCAUACAAACGCCGGGAUGAAAAUUAAUUCCUCGUGCUAUUGCAGUUUUUCUUCAUUUAAUACAAUUGUUCUUACUAUACAGGUUAGUCCUACACUAAAAUCGUCAAGACAGCGAAUAAAACUUAAUAAUUAUCGCUCACAACAUUGCAUUAUUGCGUAUCAGUUAACAGUAUCAACAGUAAGUGUUAGGAAUUAAAACGAAGAUGCAAUAAGUUUCUGACUGAACAUGAAUUUUUAAAGUAUUACGCACUAAAAAAGUUCUGUUUUUUAUGUUUUGUUUGGAAAAGAGCUGAUUCCUAUCUUACGACCUUUUUUAAACUGUUUUUGGUAAAAGUAAGGCUCAGCCCUCUACGUUACGCUAGCGUUACGCGUAACGCCCGUUUAUCACAAACCCAAGCAGUAUUUUUGAACGCCUGUUUUAACCGCCGUGGAUGAGCAAAUUAAUAGAUUAUCAUGUAUUAAAAUUGCUUAUUUUUACAUGAUAAUUAGAGAAGCAACAAUUUUUGAACAAACAUAAAAAAGAAUAGUAAUCGCUAAUUAAGAUAAAACUCAUUGAUAAUUCAUGAGUAUAAAUGAAUUAUAAUAUCACUAUUAGGCUGUUUUUCCUGUAUAUUAUUUUACCCUGUUUUUCCUCUCUUCAGCUUUGUUUUUUGCCUGUUUGUUUCAAAUGCCCGUUUAUGACAUAUAGUUGGAUACUGGUGGCUAAUGGCUCAUACAACAACACGUCAAAAACGCUCGCGCUAUUUUCAAGAAAAAGUUUAAUAAAUUUCAGGGUCGCAGAUGGUCGCAGCUAAUUUUAACGACAAUGCGUAGGAAAAUUGUUGAUCUUUCUAAUGAUAUACGACUCACGAGUGAAAUCGAGUCGAAUAAUAAAAAAUCACUAUCCAACAUGAAAAUAUUUAAAAAUUUAGCAGGAAUGUUUGGUUUUCAAUCAUUUAUGAACUUUAAAAACAAGUUUUUGUAAAAUAUUCAGACAUAACAUUAAAGUAUGACAAAAAACCUUUCCAACGACACAUUGAUUAUCAAAAUCUUAGCAUCAUAUACUAAAAUAUGAUGGUUUAUGUUCGGUCGAAAAAUAGCUCCAAUUUGGGAUAAAAAACACAAAGUUUACACUUUGAUGCCCUAUAUCUCAGUAAGUUUAAGAUAAAAACGUGAAAUAUUUUGGUUUCAACUAAGUUUAAGUAUCUAUUUUAAGAAAAUGAUCAUGGUGUUAACCUGCGAUGAAGUUGGUUUUUCGAUUUUUAUACAGGCGUUUGCCCAAUGUGCAGUGACGAAGAGUUGAAAAAACAAAUAAGACUUUUUCAGUGCAAUGCAGUUAAUACGAAAGGUAUUGUUAAAGUGUUCGCGUGUGAAGUGCAUCCUUAUCCCGAAAAGAGAGACAAUUUUAUCGAAGCGGCAUUAAAAUGUUUCAUCCUGAAGGCGAUGCCGAGAUGGAAGAGCAGCGACGGUUGUCUCUGAACGGUGCAAGGGCUCUGAACCCGGGCUUUGUUCAGCCAACGCUAAGUACACCGAUGCAACCAGCACAACCGCCAUCGCAAAAUCCCGUUGCUUCAUCGGUACAAGCAGGACUGGCCAUGAACGGUUCUGAAAUGGGAAUGUUUUUGCAAAUACUGAAUCUUAUGCAGCAGCAAAUGCAGCAGGAGCGGUAGCAACAGCUAUCUCAGCAGCAACAAAUGAUGACACACAUGAUGCAGCAAACACCACACACGACAGCGCAGCCCCAACAACAAGCCCAGCACCCUCCCGACAAUGGCACUCAAAUUCUCUCAUUUUCUCAUGCCCUCUCUGUCACAUUCGUAGCUCGAUCUCCCUCUUCUGGGACAUAGCGUUCUGAGUAUGCGGUUUUUGCAACGGCCAUUUCGUGCCGCUUCGAUCUCAUCACCUUCUCUCCCCUCCUACCCCCCUUUUUGAUCCACACUUUGGGGCUUGCAAAUUAUUGUCAAAUGAAAGUGAAGCCAAAAUGUAAACAGCAAGUGUUUGCGUGUGCGGUGAUUUUAAUAAACAUAAAAUCAACCACGGAAGUAUGAUUUAGCUGUGGUGGAAGCGAAAAAAAAAAGCUUGGAGCAUGGAAUAAAGCCGAAUGAAAUUUCUAACCUUCACGCACGACACCGCCGCUAGGUAAGGUAUGUUAAUGUGUAAUUACGAUCAUUGUUCCAUUUUAGGGUGUGAUUUGUGCAAUAUAACCGUUCCUGGCGGGGAUAGUCAAUAGUCGAUACCCUCCGCAGCUGUGAAGGGGUGCAGAAGAAGGGGCUCGCUACCACCCUUCCCACACUCGGACGCUUUUUCCGCGGAUGAAAGUUAUGUUCCUGGCUAUAUGCGCCAAAUCUAACGGUGACCCGUAUUGUGAAGGAAUUGGCAUAGGCGGUGCCGGGGACUUGGUGAAAAUGGUACACAACGGCAUCGAGUACAGUGAUAUUCAACUGAUCUGCACAGCGGUCUAAUUGAUGGAGCGGUCUUCUCCCGCUGCUUAUCUGCUCUGAAGGAUGAGCAUGCUCAGGGCAGCAAUCAACCGGCCGGGCCCAGCACGAAAGGUAUCGUGUGCGCAGGGCUUCAUGUUGCAACGCGAAGCGGAGAUGGAUCCCAAACAAAUGGAUCCCAAGCUACGAUUGUAUUGAAUUGAUGUGGCGCUGCGGUUGAAUCAUGUUCAUCAGCAAGAUUCGGAACACUUUUGUGCGCAAUCCACAUAUUACCACGCGUACUCCAUUCUAUUGCUCUGCAGCUGCUUUGCGACUGCCAGUGACUUGCUAAGCUCGUUAGGCUAGCUGAACGAAAAUAGAUAGUGCACAAAUA